UAAAGCUCAGGUAAGAUAGCG
rnacentral:siRNA from 1 species